rnacentral:lncRNA from 1 species
CCUGUUUUGUCAUCUUGAGCUUAGUUUGACCACUCAGAUGGUAGUUUUCUCUUCCCUACAGGGUCCAGAAAAGUUCAUACAACAUUCAAUUAGGCAACAACCAUUUACUUAUCUGGGGGGGGGGGGGGGGGCUGGGAUUUUUUUGAAAAAAAUAUUUUGAUGGCCUAGCUGACCGAAAAAAAAAAUUAUAUUUUGCACUGAAGCUGAAAAAAAUGUUAUGCUGUCACCUGCUUGAAAAAUUUUUUUUGCACUGCUGAAUUUGAGAAUGGUGAAACUAACAACAGACGAGACAGUAAAACAGCAGAUUAUAAACAUCUGUCCAGUAUACAGAUUAAGCUAAGAUUUCUAUUUAUAGAUCUUUAUACCUUAUCACUUUUUGUAUGUUCCUAUAAUAGUGUUUGAUCCAGAAAUAUUUAUAAGAAUUCCAAAUCUCCCGCAUAUAUAUGUUACUACUGUAAGACCAU